ACUGCUCAGUAACACGUGGAUAACCUGCCCAAGGGUCUGGGAUAACCCCGGGAAACUGGGGAUAAUACCGGAUGGAUCACUAGUGCUGGAAUGCUUGGUGGUCGAAAGGUAACGCCUUUGGAUGGGUCUGCGGCGGAUUAGGUUGACGCCGGUGUAACGUACCGGCGUGCCUGUAAUCCGUACGGGUUGUGGGAGCAAGAGCCCGGAGAUGGAUUCUGAGACACGAAUCCAGGCCCUACGGGGCGCAGCAGGCGCGAAAACUCUACAAUGCAGGCAACUGCGAUAGGGGAACAUCGAGUGGCGUCCAUAUUGGAUGUCUGUCCUCCCGCCUAAAAAGCGGGAGUUAGCAAGGGCCGGGCAAGACCGGUGCCAGCCGCCGCGGUAAUACCGGCGGCUCGAGUGGUGGCCGAUAUUAUUGAGUCUAAAGGGUCCGUAGCCGGCUUUGCAAGUCUCUCGGGAAAUCCAGCGGCUUAACCGUUGGUCGUCCGGGAGAUACUACAUUGCUUGGGACUGGGAGAGGUAAGAGGUACUCAGGGGGUAGGAGUGAAAUCCUGUAAUCCUUUGGGGACCACCGGUGGCGAAGGCGUCUUACCAGAACAGGUCCGACGGUGAGGGACGAAAGCUAGGGGCACGAACCGGAUUAGAUACCCGGGUAGUCCUAGCCGUAAACGAUGCUCGCUAGGUGUCACAACAAUCGUGAAUUGUUGUGGUGCCGUAGGGAAGCCGUGAAGCGAGCCACUUGGGAAGUACGACCGCAAGGUUGAAACUUAAAGGAAUUGGCGGGGGAGCAC
rnacentral:rRNA from 1 species